GGAAGUUGUUCAUGCUAAAUACUGUGCAGCAUCUUUAAAAGCUGCUGUGGCUGAGUGACUUCAAGGCCACAGUCCACUAAACUGGCAGCCACAGUCAGUUUUUUGCUUCUGCUCUUGGCACAUCUCAUACACAGCAUCAGUUAUUGAAUUUGCUUUUGUUUUUUCUUUCUUUUUCUUUUUUUUCUAGUUCUCCAGAUAUUGGUGCAUUGUUGUCCUGGAGGAUGCUCAAAGAGCAAGAUGUUUUUCUCACUUCAGCCAUGUGACACCAUGAAUAUGCAUUGGUGCACUCAAGCAUUUUCUGUUCUAUGAGAUCACUAAUCUGGUCACAGUGUACGCACUGAUUACAUGCUGCUAUAUGGGAGAGCAGUCUACUCUCUUCCCCUCUUGCUGCAGGUCAAGCUGCUUAUUAAAUGAGAGAACAUGGUCAUGAUGCCUUCUGAUAGUGGAAUGCAUGGAUUAAGAUGCUCAAGGGUAUGCAUUUCUGUGGUGUUUUUUUGUUUUUUUGUUUUUCCUUUGGUUCACUGUCAGUAUUUAUCUACAUUGAUCUUUUUUUAGUCUUUUUACAAUUUUUUCUAUGAAAUUUAACUCUUUCAGCUAUAGAUGAGAGUGGUGUUCAACACGAA
rnacentral:lncRNA from 1 species